AGUGAACGCCGGCGGUAGGCCUAACACAUGCAAGUCGAACGGCAGCACAGGAGAGCUUGCUCUUUGGGUGGCGAGUGGCGGACGGGUGAGGAAUACAUCGGAAUCUACUCUGUCGUGGGGGAUAACGUAGGGAAACUUACGCUAAUACCGCAUACGACCUACGGGUGAAAGCAGGGGACCUUCGGGCCUUGCGCGAUUGAAUGAGCCGAUGUCGGAUUAGCUAGUUGGCGGGGUAAAGGCCCACCAAGGCGACGAUCCGUAGCUGGUCUGAGAGGAUGAUCAGCCACACUGGAACUGAGACACGGUCCAGACUCCUACGGGAGGCAGCAGUGGGGAAUAUUGGACAAUGGGCGCAAGCCUGAUCCAGCCAUACCGCGUGGGUGAAGAAGGCCUUCGGGUUGUAAAGCCCUUUUGUUGGGAAAGAAAUCCAGCUGGCUAAUACCCGGUUGGGAUGACGGUACCCAAAGAAUAAGCACCGGCUAACUUCGUGCCAGCAGCCGCGGUAA
rnacentral:rRNA from 1 species